rnacentral:rRNA from 1 species
UACGGAGGGUGCAAGCGUUAUCCGGAUUCACUGGGUUUAAAGGGUGCGUAGGAGGGCAGGUAAGUCAGUGGUGAAAUCUCCAAGCUUAACUUGGAAACUGCCGUUGAUACUAUCUGUCUUGAAUAUUGUGGAGGUGAGCGGAAUAUGUCAUGUAGCGGUGAAAUGCUUAGAUAUGACAUAGAACACCAAUUGCGAAGGCAGCUCACUACUCAAUCAUUGACUCUGAGGCACGAAAGCGUGGGGGUCAAACAGG